rnacentral:tRNA from 1 species
GAGGGUAUAGCUCAAGUGGCAGAGCGCAUGCUUAGCAUGCACGAGGUCCUGGGUUCGAACCUUGGUACCGCCA